rnacentral:rRNA from 1 species
CCUACGGGUGGCAGCAGUGGGGAAUAUUGGACAAUGGGGGGAACCCUGAUCCAGCCAUGCCGCGUGUGUGAAGAAGGCCCUCGGGUUGUAAAGCACUUUCAGUGAGGAAGAACGCCUGGUGGUUAAUACCCAUCAGGAAAGACAUCACUCAUAGAAGAAGCACCGGCUAACUCCGUGCCAGCAGCCGCGGUAAUACGGAGGGUGCGAGCGUUAAUCGGAAUUACUGGGCGUAAAGCGCGCGUAGGUGGCUUGAUAAGCCGGUUGUGAAAGCCCCGGGCUCAACCUGGGAACGGCAUCCGGAACUGUCAAGCUAGAGUGCAGGAGAGGAAGGUAGAAUUCCAGGUGUAGCGGUGAAAUGCGUAGAGAUCGGGAGGAAUACCAGUGGCGAAGGCGGCCUUCUGGACUGACACUGACACUGAGGUGCGAAAGCGUGGGUAGCAAACAGGAUUAGAUACCCCUGUAGUC